AUUGUUGCAUGUCCAAAUCACGCUGCGUUUGUUAAAAUAAGUUAUCUAUUCUAAAGAAACUGGCAUUUUUCACGACGAAUGAAUCUGUAUGGUUAUCUAACCUAACCCGUUUUCACAAAUGUUAAUGUUAGAUGGAUAUUUUAGCACAGUAUAGCCAGAAUAUUGGGAAUGUGCAAGCACAUGUACCCUUGGCUUUGCUCUAAAAUGUUGAGAAAGGAGCACAAUAUGUGCAGUGAAUACAUUCAUCCGGGUACUUCCAUCUCCGGGUUACUGUACUACAGUACAGAGAAAGGAAGCAGCAGCGGCGGCAGCAGGUAAGUGAGGGCGAGCCAAAUAUGUCUGAAAAUAUGCAGAAAAAAAUAACUUAAAUUCUACCGCAUUAUAAUAAAUGUUCGCUACGGACGUUAUAAUGGAAGAAGAGAGUUUGGCGAAAGUCAUCGAAAAACAAGCAGACACAGCCACACUGUAGUUAGCUAGCUACCAGUCUAGUUUAACGCAGUUAAAUAGCUAAUGUUUGUUAGCGCAACCUUAUAAAUCUGUAUCGAGGCUUCAAAAUUCAGGUAGCGUUACAUAUUAAAAACGGGAAUAGGAAUGUUAAAUACUUCAGCUAGCAAAUUAAUAGUAGCUAACUAAUCAUUUAAAUUAUUAGCCAUGUCGGUUUGAAAACCGCCAUUUUUUCAGAAUAUGGUAGCGGGGAUACUGUUAGCUUUCUGCUGAAGGAAACUUUAGAAGAUAUUUUAAAUGUGCUCCCUGCGUGCUCUUCAGCAAUUUUGUAUUAUGCGAUGAUGGUGAAUAAAUGGAAUUCGCUUGCUAGCAAUCUUGUAUAGAAGUACUAACCGGAGGGAAAUGCAUCGCGUGCCGAGGGUUAGCUAGCAAUCUAGACAGCUAGCUAGGUGUUGCCAUGCCUAUGUAAUGAGAACCAGUUGGUAAAUUAUCGUUACUUUGUUGGUGUAAAUUAGACUAGAUAAUGUUCUGAAAAAUGUUAAUUAAUAUUAAUAUUUAGUUUAGUUAUCUAGUUGACUAUAUGCGCUACCCUAGUGUUACAUAGCUAUCAUUUAGUCUAUUAGAGUAAUGUUCUAGCUUGCCAAUUAUUUGGCUGUGAAUCGGCAUCCUAGGUAAGCCUUUUAAAAACGUAGCGGGUAGGCAAACUAACUAGUGCUUAUAAUAAGUUAUAUCUGGUUAUUUGUAUAACAUUCGAUAUAUUUUGCACAUGGAUAUAAUGCCAUGCUGUUAGCAGCGUUCCUGGCGCAUGAUCCGUUUGAGCUGCUCGUAUUUUCCGGCUGGUUGUUGUCGCCUCUUUUUUUCAAGCUUGUUAGACAAGUUCGAGUAAAGCAUUUUAUUCUAUUGCAUAUAAUUUGAUUGCUGCAAAACGCCAUUUUCGCAACUAGGUAACAUUAGCGGGACUAAGUUUAGUUCCAAUUACGUACGGUAGCUAAAGGAAUCACUGUGAGUGAUGGAAUCUUGUUGCAUGGACUAUGUGGCUAGCUAUACGUGCGCUAGGUAACUAUUCCGUAUGCUAGCUUCAUAGUAUACCUAAACUAACAAGCUACAUUGUGAAAUAAUUAUGGCCGUUAUUUUUAUUAACUACUAACGUAGCUAGCUGCAGGUCAAAAGUAUUUUUGUUGCGUUUCCCUGAAUCACAAUCACAGCUGCCCACGUUACGAGUUCUUUUUGUUUUUUGUAUUUUUUGAGCAGUCACAUUUACUGAUCCUGCCGUUUCACAACCUACACGAGGAUGAACGUCCUUCUUUUUGGCCCCCUCAUUGGUUAAAAAUAGUUUCGGCGCUCCAGUUUGGUACAGGGCCCUGUCAAUCAAUACUUGAGGCGUCACUUCCUCCAUCAAGCUCGUAUGAGUGGGAGACCUUGGCCUUGUAAGGCUGUGUUGGAGGGGGAAGGGAAGAGUAGUGACAACAAAAUUCUUAGCUGUGUUGCAACACCUAACGGGAAUAAUAUACGUAAAAUUAAAAUAGACCAUAUCACCUUAUUACUAAAUUUAGUGCGUAGUAAUGAUACCAAGGUGCAUGCACGUAUUUAGUGUCGUCCUGAUUCAGUAGCUUGCUCACAAGUAAUUUGCAUUCCUCUUGCGUCUGUAACGCGAAGAAGCGCAAUACUCGUCCCCUUUUCCACCACACGACCCCUUCUACCCUCAACAAGUUCCUGCUCCUUUGUUUGAAAUACCACUAGCUUGCUAACUUAGGAUCCUAACCUUGGCUGUACACAAGGAGGGCGAAAGAUAGACCCCUACAGUGGUCUUGUCUAUGGUUUGUUUCAUUUUCGUUUGUUUUAUUUCUAUUACUCUCAUGUUUGCAUUGCAAUCAAGUGUGAUUGGAAGUUACUUUAAAUAAUACUGAUGUAGUGCCAGUAUAUUACAGUCUGUGCAAUCCCUUGAUUUCAUAACUACCUUUUUCCUUAGGUUAACACUGUAAGUGUUUUCAUUGAUUUAGUCAGUUAAAGGAUAAACGGUUAAAAAAUAAAUAAAUCAAAGACAUGUCAAAACAAUAUCCAUGAUAAUAAUAGGUUAUGCAUGACCAACUGGUAUUUAUGGUAGAAAGUGUUUUUACAUGGUACUUUAGCACAAGCUUCAGAUGACCUUACAGGCACAAGUUAGUCCAAGUCUACUGAAGAUGAAGUGUGAAAUGGAAGGCAAAUUAUAUUGUUUUAAUGUAAGUGUUAUGGAGUACACUUGCACAUAUCACAUCAUUCACAAAUUAGGCUGGUAUUGUAAAUAUAACAAGAGCUGUUUCAGGAACAUCAUGGGACAGAGGAUGAAAAAUUAAAAGUUAAUGUCUCACUUUUAAAAUAAAACUCGUUAUCAAAGAACAUACGAUGUGAAAGUGAUUCCCCCCCCCACUGUUGAUGUCUGGCUCCUUUUCAUGCUUGCCACGAAUUAGCCUGGCUGAUUUUACGAGAGUCUCCCGUGGGGGGCUUGUGUGAGGAGGGACAGAUUUAUGACACCGUGGUUACAUUGCUCAUCCUCUGACGCAGUCUGACUCAAUCAAUGGGGGAUGCACCAGCGGGUUCCAUUUACAGGCAGGUCCGUACGCUACCAAACAGGGACUAUCGGGUUUCAGUGGUGAGUACCCAAAUGUGCAGAGGAGUGCUCGUGAUAUCAGAAAAAGGAAAUAAAAAUGGUGGGAAGAAAUGGCUGCCGUUUCUGCCGCUGCCGUCUGAACGGCUGCACUCUGCCAAGGGCCCCUGUUAGAUUCUUUAUUGAGCUGCGUGGUCCUUUAUUGAGCUAAUCUAAUGGAGGCCCAGUGCCAGCGCCUCAGCGCUUCUCUGGUCCUGUCCCUCUGCCAGUUUCCCUUUCAUUUUUCUGUGCUUGGGGAUAUUUCGGACCAACCGCUCGCUCCCAUCUGUGUUGCGGGAUGCCGAAAUGCCCCCGUCGGAGGUGAAACGCCCUGUUUGCCAUUCGAUGCUAACGCUUGCUAGUACGGGUUCACGGAAGCCGAUCUGGGAUAGCUGCCAAGCCCAGGCAGAAUAUGAACGAUUGGCUAAAGAAAAAAAAAGAAAAAUCAUUCUUCGUAUUUGCUCUAAAGAGCAGGGCAGUUGGUGAAUGAGCGCAUGCAUGUUGUUUUUCUUUUACAAGUGUCCAUGUGGUCCUUAAGGCUUGAGCUCACCUUAUUUGAAAGACUGACUUGUGUGCUUUAGCAUAUUAACGUGGCUGAAUAAAGGCUCAUUUUGUGAGGGAAUUAGCAUGCAUCAGAAGGGCACGUCUUUUCAUGAAGUCUUUGUGCAAAGAUGUUCGUCCUGGCUCAGAUUUAGAUCAGGGCUGAAGAGAAAACACUCAAAGCAGGUAUUACAGUUAGCUAGCAAUCUUGUUAGUUUCCUAAGAGGUAAUUCUGUUCACUUAUUUCAGUCUGUUACAUUGUGUGCAGAAAUUCUCACUGCUUUUUAUUUUUCUUCCUUGCACAGGAACAGAUGAAGGGGAUUCCAAAUUUUGCCCAACAACAACCACCCCAGUUUUUGGGCAAACCUUUAGUAAAGGAGUACAGUUAGGCUCACUUUUUCAAUAUAUUGUUUGAUUACAGUUUCAAAUAGAAAAGCCUAUUUUUUAUCAGCAGUGUACUGAUUCUGUAAUGAGAGUGACUAAGAAUUAAUGAAGUGCGGAUGACAUAUUACUUAAGCCUAAAAAGCUAAAGCAAUGACCUGGGAAUGGUAUUUGCUCCUGCUCAUAGCCUAACGCUUUCUUUACUUAUUCACAAUACUGUAUAAACCUGUGCACAUUGAAAGCAGACAGUCUAUAAACAGACAAAAUGGCGUCCGAGUCAAAAACAGCAUUAAACUACAACGGCAGAGCAGUGUUUCUGCGGAAGCUUUGUUCCUGUGCACACUGCGCCUGUGCCCUUUAAAGCUGAAGAAAGAAAGUGAUAGAGAGAAGCAGAGGCAAAUUGUGAAGUCAUGGCUAAUCUUGACUGAGGAGCCAGGGAGCUGCCAAGGCAGGGGCACAAUAACAACAUGGCUUCCUUGGCGCAGUGAGAGUGCCAGUGGCAGGACCGGUCUUGCCAUUUCACCGUGCUGCACAGUGCUUUUUCAGGAGCUGGGAAACAAUCUGGACCAAAAAGCCAACCGCAGGCGAAUGCGGAAAGCAGCGGUUUUCUUCUGCCCGGCUUAUUUUCUUUUUAAAUUGCAGCUAAUUAAAUACAUAGUCUUAAUGUUUUAAAUUGCCAUUCUUAACGUAGUAUUAUCAAUUAAGUGGUGUUUAGGAUAGUCAGUACACCCGUUGACGGUAUUCCGUUUCUUUUGCAGUUAACCCUUUCUGUUUGUCACAGUUGCUGUGAAUGAAUGAAGCAGAUGGUUUUUGGCUUAGUCAUUUAAAAAAGAACCCUUACUGGAACUUCACACAGUUUAAAACAUUUUUGUAUUUAUAUUUAUAGUAUAAUAUAUUAUUAAUAAUAAUAAUAAUAAUAAUUAAAACUUUAUUGUUCACAUAUUGUAGUAAUUUACACUACAACUGAUUGAUUGGGUAACACUGCAAAUGAUGUGUUUCUAUUGUUAUGUAGCAUAUGUGAUGCUUACUUUUUUCCUGACAGGUAGAGAGAAGCCAGUUGCACUGUGGGAUGAGGUAGUAGGUUGUAUAGUUUUAGGGUCACACCCACACUGGGAGAUAACUAUACAACCUACUGUCUUUCUCAAAGAGCCACAAAUUCUUCUGAAUCAUCACCACCUACAAAGAAUCGCAUUGUGCAACGGACUUUUUUAUUUUACAUUUUAAAUUAAAUUUUUAGGAAUGCCAUGUGGAUAAAGCUGACCUUUUCUACAAGGUUGGCACUGAUCAGCAAGAUGCAAUGAGUGGGAAUGCUUUGGAUAAAUGAUUCAUGUCUCAUUGACUCAUUUAUUCCUUGCUCAGAUGAAUUUUCAGAAAUACUUCCAAAUGCUCAGCCAGUGUGAGGUAGUAGAUUGUAUAGUUGUGGGGUAGUGAUUUUUACCCUGUUUGGAAGAUAACUAUACAAUCUAUUGCCUUCCCUGAGGAGCAGAAAAGCACCACUUCUGUGUCAUUUUACGGACUUGUUUUUAAGCUUGUGAAUAUUCCUUUUUCCUGUUGUCAAUAUCAGUUAAGUGUUUGCUGGAGGCACAUUUCCUGCAUGCAGUAAAGAAGUGAGAGCAUGAGAAAAGAUGGGUGUGCGCUUCAGAUAUGACUUCAAUUCAGUUUGGAUUAUUGUGUAAACCUGUACCUGAGUGACCCUCCCCUUUGCAAAGCCAGGCUGCCUCUGGCUUGGCAGGACCCAGCUGUCCAGUAAACAUGCUUUUUCACAGCCCACAAAACCAGCCUUCAUUGAGGCUGACCUCAGGCCAGUACUCGCUUUUGUGCGCCUGCGUGUGUGGGUGUGUAAUGCAAUUGGUUGAGAACAGCAUUUGGCCUUGAAAUAAACGUAGCCGUAGCAGGAUAGAACUGGUCACUAUCGAUAGGUGUUCAUCUGGUCAAGAUUAUAAAGUGCAUACUGAAUGAGCUUCACAGUUCAAGACCAUGGGCAUUCUGGGAGAAAAAGUACCCUCGGGGCUCCUGGGUAGAGGUAGCAGAUUGCAUAGUUGUAGGGCAGGGAUUUUGCCCCAGUGGAGAUAACUAUACAACCUGCUGCCUUUCUUAGGGCUUCACAAUCACAGCACAUUUGUGUUCUCCCUCUCCACAACGGAAACACGAGAAACGCUAGCGCAUUGACGACACGCUCAUUCAGAGUAAAAUAUCCAGAGAGAUGGGCCACCGUCAAUAUCAUUUAUCAAAUGCAUUAAUGUGUACAUGGUUAUUUAAGUGUUAGGCAUAAAGAACGCAUUUAUCUGCUUUCAGACCCAUUGUAAAAUGGGUUUGCUGGGAUAGGAAGACCUCUGAAGGUUUGUCAUGAUAUACUUCUGCAUGUUUGGGUGAUGUCCAUUCAGUCUAUAGGGUCAUCUUGGCCAUAUGUGAGCAGGCAGCAUGACCUGCUGGUUACAUACUUUAAUUUUCAAACAACAGCUUCAGAACGCACUUUUGGAAGUCAGUUGACCAGACUGUUAUGUGGGUUAGGCUGUACAGCAGUUGAUUGGUUGUAAAUGACAACCAGCAGUUUGUUUUGGUAACAAAGAACUGAUGUCCAUCCAGUGAUUUAUUUAAUUUAGGACACUCAUUCAGAGCACGUUUCUUGAACUUCUCAUGUCUGUUUAUACAUUUUAAUGUUUGCAUUUUUUUGUCAUUCCAGAAUUGUUAAGAAUCUUAUUUUCUUUCAAUAAAGAACUGUAAAACUCA